rnacentral:rRNA from 1 species
GAUGAACGCUGGCGGCGUGCCUAAUACAUGCAAGUCGAGCGAACAGACGAGGAGCUUGCUCCUCUGACGUUAGCGGCGGACGGGUGAGUAACACGUGGAUAACCUACCUAUAAGACUGGGAUAACUUCGGGAAACCGGAGCUAAUACCGGAUAAUAUAUUGAACCGCAUGGUUCAAUAGUUAAAGACGGUUUUGCUGUCACUUAUAGAUGGAUCCGCGCCGCAUUAGCUAGUUGGUAAGGUAACGGCUUACCAAGGCGACGAUGCGUAGCCGACCUGAGAGGGUGAUCGGCCACACUGGAACUGAGACACGGUCCAGACUCCUACGGGAGGCAGCAGUAGGGAAUCCUCCGCAAUGGGCGAAAGCCUGACGGAGCAACGCCGCGUGAGUGAUGAAGGUCUUCGGAUCGUAAAACUCUGUUAUUAGGGAAGAACAAAUGUGUAAGUAACUAUGCACGUCUUGACGGUACCUAAUCAGAAAGCCACGGCUAACUACGUG